GGAGGCUUUAGCUUAGUUAAAGUGUUUGAGUUGCAUUCAGAAGAUGUAUAUUAAAAUUAUGCAGGCCUUC
rnacentral:tRNA from 2 species